rnacentral:rRNA from 1 species
AGCGAACGCUGGCGGCAGGCUUAACACAUGCAAGUCGAACGGGCACUUCGGUGUCAGUGGCAGACGGGUGAGUAACACGUGGGAACGUACCUUUUGGUUCGGAACAACUGAGGGAAACUUCAGCUAAUACCGGAUAAGCCCUUAUGGGGAAAGAUUUAUCGCCGAAAGAUCGGCCCGCGUCUGAUUAGCUAGUUGGUAGGGUAAUGGCCUACCAAGGCGACGAUCAGUAGCUGGUCUGAGAGGAUGAUCAGCCACAUUGGGACUGAGACACGGCCCAAACUCCUACGGGAGGCAGCAGUGGGGAAUAUUGGACAAUGGGGGCAACCCUGAUCCAGCCAUGCCGCGUGAGUGAUGAAGGCCCUAGGGUUGUAAAGCUCUUUUGUGCGGGAAGAUAAUGACGGUACCGCAAGAAUAAGCCCCGGCUAACUUCGUGCCAGCCGCCGCCGUAA